rnacentral:rRNA from 1 species
GACGAACGCUGGCGGCGUGCCUAAUACAUGCAAGUCGAGCGAACGGACGAGAAGCUUGCUUCUCUGAUGUUAGCGGCGGACGGGUGAGUAACACGUGGAUAACCUACCUAUAAGACUGGGAUAACUUCGGGAAACCGGAGCUAAUACCGGAUAAUAUUUUGAACCGCAUGGUUCAAAAGUGAAAGACGGUCUUGCUGUCACUUAUAGAUGGAUCCGCGCUGCAUUAGCUAGUUGGUAAGGUAACGGCUUACCAAGGCAACGAUGCAUAGCCGACCUGAGAGGGUGAUCGGCCACACUGGAACUGAGACACGGUCCAGACUCCUACGGGAGGCAGCAGUAGGGAAUCUUCCGCAAUGGGCGAAAGCCUGACGGAGCAACGCCGCGUGAGUGAUGAAGGUCUUCGGAUCGUAAAACUCUGUUAUUAGGGAAGAACAUAUGUGUAAGUAACUGUGCACAUCUUGACGGUACCUAAUCAGAAAGCCACGGCUAACUACGCG